GGAGUAUUUAUACUUUUACUUUAGUACAGGAUCUGAGUACUUUUUCCACCACUGCUUAAGAUCCAGUAAUGGGUUGCUAUAUCCUGCACCUCACACCCUGAAUUAUGUUAAUGGCUGCAAUAAUAGUUGUUAUUUACAAUACAUUUGGAUCAUUAACACAUUUCUCUUUUUCUCUAGGUUUUGAAUGUGGAGAUGCAAACAGUGUACUGAGACUCAAUCUACAAGGUAAACGCAGAAUUCACCCGCAUCACCACCGUUCCGCUGCUGCCUACCUUCAUGUCUCAACUGGAUCGCCAUUCGUCUCAGUUGAUGAAGGUUUUCAAAAAGAAGGGGGGAACAGCAGGACGCAAUUUGGGCCUGAUCAUGGCAGCCAUGGACAAGGAUCCCACAGUUGAAACACGACGGGACUGUGUCCUUAAAGCGCUCUGCGUCUACUUGAAUGAAAG